AUUGAACGCUGGCGGCAUGCCUUACACAUGCAAGUCGAACGGCAGCACGGGGGCGAACCCUGGUGGCGAGUGGCGAACGGGUGAGUAAAGCAUCGGAACGUGCCCGGUAGUGGGGGAUAGCCCGGCGAAAGCCGGAUUAAUACCGCAUACGACCUGAGGGUGAAAGCGGGGGACCGCAAGGCCUCGCGCUAUCGGAGCGGCCGAUGUCAGAUUAGGUAGUUGGUGGGGUAAAGGCCUACCAAGCCUGCGAUCUGUAGCUGGUCUGAGAGGACGACCAGCCACACUGGGACUGAGACACGGCCCAGACUCCUACGGGAGGCAGCAGUGGGGAAUUUUGGACAAUGGGCGCAAGCCUGAUCCAGCCAUGCCGCGUGAGUGAAGAAGGCCU
rnacentral:rRNA from 1 species